GGAAUUUCCUUCUCCUUUAAGUAGAAAGACAAGUAGCACAAAUCAUAAGAAUAAAUGUCUCCCCUUAGGAUUCCUGGCAUUAAGGGUGCAGGGGCACUGAUCAGAACACAGCUGGUUAUGGGAAGCAGGAACACUAGGUACAUGCAGGGGGAAAGGGAAACCAAUAGGAAUAUGGAGUUGACCCCUGUGUUAAUAUACCAAGGAUUCAUAGAGCAUGAUGGGAUCUGUAGUGCUGUUACAAGCCCACCCUGAUCAUGACAUUAUAAGCAAUACAAAUGCUACCUACCUCUUAUGGUCAACCCUUAUAGUGCAUCAUGGGAGAUGAUGAAGGACCUUUCCAUAUGCCAGUGAUAAAAGUCUACAUCCUGAUUGCCCAACAUUUUUGUUAGCUAAAUAGCACACGCAACAGCAGUCAGGCUCCCUCACUUCCAAUUACAGCGUUAUAGUGAGUGCAUUAUGGGAUCUGUAGUUUUUAAUCAUAGUGUAGAAGGAUACAGAGCUGACUGCCAUUUAGGGCAUCUGGGGCUCUAGAAGUGUCAGGGUCCACAGCUCCCAUUAUGCUCCUGCUCACAAUCUCUUAUUAUUUCUCCCAAAAAAGUGAAAUAUUCCGAGUGAUUUGCGAGAGACCGAUUUGAGAGAGAGAGCGAUUGUAAGAGAGACAGCUAAAGAAGAAGAGAGAGAGAAGCAAAGAGAAGAGAAGACAAAGAAGAAAGAAGACCUUGAGUGACCCCCAGCCAGAUCUUCUCAUUUGGGAUCCUCAGGACAAAGGGGUGUCGGAGAUGGGCUUGUGUUCAAGCAAGGACCGCCUUUACAUAAACGCUAUCGCCAGGACUCACAAUGGAUCUACAGGAAGGAGGAGGGGAUCUGUGAGAUGACGGAUUUGGAGCGCAUGAGGAAGGAAAUCAUAGGCGAAAUCAAAUUGGCAAGCUAUGAUUAUUGUAUGGCCAGAGAAAAAUCAGAUUGAUGGCUGAGGUCCUGCAGGACAAGAUGAAGGCCAAAGCCCAACUGAAAUCCCUCUACAAACAACUAGAGGAGAUAAACUGGGCAAUUUUCAGGAAGUUCAUUGAUACAUAUCCAGAGAGCCUACCAGCCCCGUCGCAGUUUACACAGUACCACGUACCGAUGCACCUCUGUGUAGGUGAUCUUCAUGACACAGACUUGAGUGAGCCAUUCUCAAUUCCACCAGCGGUGCCUCCACUCCAAUAAACCAUGAUCCCACCAGUGGUGCUCCCCCUUACACCUUAUAUAUGGUUCCAUAGACAUGAGCACCCUUACGCCACUUGGUAGACCCUGCAUUCCUUUUCAAUCCAUCCCUUAAACUGCAGAAGCUGGGUCUGCAGGCUGCCUGGGGUCCAAUGGAAUGACGAGGAAUGCAGGGUUCACUUUGUAGCUUAAUGGUGCUCAUGUAUAUGCAGCCAUAUUCCCUUCUAUUUUAGUUCCUUCCACCGCAAUACCACAGUGUCCCUUAUUUCCCCAAUUAUUUCUACCGUAAUUCCAUCAGCGGUACCACACUUACACCUAAAAUAUGGUUCCAUAGACAGGAGCACCCUCAAGACUCUCGGUAGACCCUGUGUUCCUUUUCACUCAAUCCCUCAGACUGCAGAAGCCGGGUCUGCAGGCUACCUGGGGUCCAAUGGAAUUGAGAGGAAUUCAGUGUUCACCUAGAAGCUUAAAAGCGCUCCCAUGUAUAUGUAGCCAUAUUCCCCUCUGUUUCAAUUUCCUCCACAGUAAUUUCACCAGCGCUGCCCCCUUUACACCUAAAAUAUGGUUUCAUAGACAAGAGCACCCUUAAGCCACUCAGUAGACCCUGCAUUCCUUUCCAUUCCAUCCCUCAAGACUGCUGAAGCUGGGUUCUGCAGGCUGCCUGGGGUCCAAUGGAAUGGAGAGGAAUGCAGUGUUCACCUUGUAGCUUAAAGGUGCUCGUGUGUAUGCUGCCAUAUUACCUUCUAUUUGCAUUCCCUCCAUCGCAAUUCCAACCACAGUGUCCCUUCUUUCCCCCUAAAUAUGGUUCCAUAGACAGGAGCACCUUUAAGCCACUCGGUAGACCCUGCAUUCCUGUCCAAUCCAUCCUUCAGACUGCAGAAACGGGGCCACAGGCUGCCUGGGGUCCAAUAGAAUGGAAUGUAGUGUUCACCUUGUAGCUUAAAGGUACUCAUGUGUAUGCUGCCAUAUUCCCUUCUAUUUCCCUCACCCUGCUUCCCUUGAUUUAAUUUGGCACAUUGAUCCUGGGAGCUAAUCCGAUCGCGGUUAAGGGGUCAGGAAGGAAUUUUUCCCUCUAGUAAGCAGAUUGUCCCAAGUUUGCCAGAGGUUUUUUGCCUUCCUCUGGAUCAAAUAGCGCAGUUUAUCUAAUUAUUAUCAAUAA